CCGAGUUCUCGGGAACAGCGGCUCGGCCUGCAAGGCUGUUGUUUCAAGAAAUGAAAAUGAAGGGCGCCCUGGAAUAGGUUCGCCGAAGAGAGAGCUUGCAGGCCUCUGGGAAGCAAGCCAUCGUGUGGCAGAGGCCCAGGUGGCAAGGAACCAAGGGCGGCUUCUGGCCAACAGCCAGCGAGGACCUGAGACCGUAGCCCAACACCCCUCCAGGAACUGAAUUUUGCCAGCAACCAGUGAGUGACCUUGGAAGUGGAUCCUUCCCCCGAAAGCCCGGCUUUCAGCUCAGAGAAUGGAAAAAUAUCUCUUCCUAAAGACACAGAGAAACAUAAACAAACCUGACCAAUAGAAGGACCAAAACCUCUGCACAGUGCCUCACCCCUCGGAGGAAUUAACAAAAAUACGGAGGCUGGUGGGACCUCAACCCCAGCUGGUAUCCAGGCUCUUGACACCAUCUGGAGAAGGAAUUCAAGAGUGUGUCAGAAAAUGAUGAAAGUACAAAGAUUUAUUGCAAAGCGAAAAAUACACACUCAAGAAAGGGGAGUAUGGGUGGACUCAAGACAGAGUCCGAUGGGACUUGGGGUUUCUACCUUUUGGGUUUCUUUUUUUUUUUUUUUUGAUAUGGAGUCUCGCACUGUUGCCCAGGCUGGAGCGCAGUGGCGUGAUUUUGGCUCACUGCAACCUCUGCCUCCCGGGUUAAAACGAUUCUCCUGCCUCAGCGUCCCAAGUAGCUGGGAUUACAGGCUCCCACCACCAUGCCCGGCUAAUUUUUGUAUUUUUAGUAGAGACGAGGCCUCACCAUAUUGGCCAGGCUGUUCUCGAACUCCG
rnacentral:lncRNA from 1 species